GGAAACCUGGUCUCUUCUGGUGCUUAGAUUUUAAAAAGGGUCUAGCACCAUUUGAAAUCAGUUUUCU
rfam:Biomphalaria glabrata isolate BB02 unplaced genomic scaffold LGTN_random_Scaffold532, whole genome shotgun sequence.